UUGAUAAGCAUUUAUUGGCUAUUAAAGAUUUAUCGGUUAAAGAUGGGCAUGCGGCUGAUUAGGUAGUUGGUGAGGUAAUGGCUCACCAAGCCGACGAUCAGUAGGGGGUCUGAGAGGAUGUCCCCCCACACUGGUACUGAGACACGGACCAGACUCCUACGGGAGGCAGCAGUAGGGAAUAUUGGACAAUGGGGGCAACCCUGAUCCAGCCAUUCCGCGUGCAGGAAUAAGGCCCUAUGGGUCGUAAACUGCUUUUGUAUGGGAAAAAAUCACCUUACGUGUAAGGUGUUGAUGGUACCAUGAGAAUAAGGAUCGGCUAACUUCGUGCCAGCAGCCGCGGUAAUACGAAGGAUCCAAGCGUUGUCCGGAUUUACUGGGUUUAAAGGGUGCGUAGGCGGGAAAUUAAGUCAGUGGUGAAAGCUGGUAGCUCAACUAUCAAAUUGCCAUUGAAACUGAUUUUCUCGAGUACGGUUGAGGUAGCUGGAAUGUAACAUGUAGCGGUGAAAUGCUUAGAUAUGUUACAGAACACCAAUUGCGAAGGCAGGCUACUAAACCGUAACUGACGCUGAGGCACGAAAGCGUGGGGAUCAAACAGGAUUAGAUACCCUGGUAGUCCACGCCGUAAACGUUGCAUACUCGGUCUUAGCGAUAUACAGUUAGGACCUAAGCGAAAGCAUUAAGUAUGCCACCUGGGGAGUACGGUCGCAAGAU
rnacentral:rRNA from 1 species